rnacentral:rRNA from 1 species
CCCUUAGAUGUUCUGGGCCGCACGCGCGCUACACUGACGAAUGCAACGAGCUUAUAACCUUGGCCGAAAGGUCUGGGUAAUCUCCAAAUUUCGUCGUGAUGGGGAUAGAUUAUUGCAAUUAUUAAUCUUCAACGAGGAAUGCCUAGUAAGCGCAAGUCAUCAGCUUGCGUUGAUUACGUCCCUGCCCUUUGUACACACCGCCCGUCGCUCCUACCGAUUGAAUGGUCCGGUGAAGCGUUCGGACCGUGGCCUUUGGACGGUUCGCCGUCUGUUGGCUGCGGGAAGUUCGUUAAACCUUAUCAUUUAGAGGAAGGAGANGUCGUNACA